AAAUAUGCGAUCACAAAAUUCGAUAAAAAUGACAAGUAGCUGGAUCCAUGAAACUAAUCGAUGCGAUUUGUCGCAUGUCGUUUUGAGACAACAUAUGGCGGCCAUUAAAUCACCUUAAGUCUAAGUAACUCUUUCGAAAGAAUAUGGCAGCAACGCUGUUGGAAGACCUCAUGUCCCUCGGGUUAGUCCAAUCUGUGAAGCACUCACUCUAGGGUAGAGGAGUUAUCAAGGUGUCAAAAAAUAUUACUCUGUUCGAUUGCUUAAUCUAUCCGAACAUGAUCAUAAAUUUGAUGAUUUAACGUCUUAAUCAAAUUGAGGCGCCCGCUGAUCACGUUGCCUAGCAUCGGCCCUCAAUCUUGCGAUUCGAGGCCCGGGCCCUGCACUCGAGCAGUAUCUGUUUUCAAUUUUACUUUGUUGUGUAAAGACGUAUAAAUAAUUUUUCCCGCCAUAAAUUUACGUUAGCGCCCGACUGUCCCGCCAGCAAUCGAGAAGUACCUGCUGCAGUACACUAUUUGUGCGCCCCGCCUCAAUAUCAGAUUUUCUUGUGACCCUAUCCCGCCUACUAAUGAAAGCACUGAUGUCUCUCCGUUUUUCCACGAACACCCGGCGUCAGUCUUUGGGGGAGCGAGGGAUGAUGCCCAGUCCGACAACAAGAAUUUGAAUGAGCCGGCAGGUUCACGCAUUUUGAAGACAGGCUCAAAAAGUACCCCCCGCGAUUUCAGCGGCGCGUCCCCCAUUAAAGCCUCGCGCGACGCCAAGGUAAAACGUUACGUGAUGCUUUCUGUCCAUCACGCGUCAAAAUGAAACCCAUUAGGGCUCUGCAUCUCUGCCAGUUUUGAUGGAAAUAGACUGCACCCUGCACCUAAAACUCUCACGGGCAAGAAAACCCCAUCUUGGAAUUAAGAAAUGAGUUUAUACUCACAAUUUUUUUUUAAGAGAUAUAUUUUUUCCCAUAGCUGGAGUUAAAGAAGAAGUUUGAAAUUAAUCGCACCGUAAACUUGGACUUUGCGUCAAAACUGUUUUGCCAUGUAAUUGGCAAAUAAAAUGCCUUUGCUUCGGAUUUCGUACCCGACGGAAAGGUAAAGGAUCAGAGGUUUUGAGCUGAGAUCCCCUCUUUUGUUAGGAUGCACCUCUCGUUAAGUCUGAACCUCUUCAAAUUUUAUUGCUGAACGAAAAACGAGGCAUAAGACGGUUUCUUCUCACAUCGUUGCAUCGCGUCAUCUUCAAAAACUUCUUUUGACCGCGAGGGUUAAAUGUGGAGUGGUUUUGAAGGCAGCGGUAUUUAUCUCAUGCCCUUUUCCCCCCAAAAGUUAGGAUUGUUGAAUGAUGAACCAGCCAGAGGUACGGUAAAAUCAGUCAUGGAAUAUAGUUGAGAUCAUCAUAUUUUCCGUCGAGUGUCCUAGACUCUGUGACGGUACUGAAUUAUUUGGUUCGUACACCUGAGAGGUUCUCUCUGUGUGUGAUGUGCUCCAUGAAAAUAUUUUGAAGUCCAAAAUUUCUAUUUCAGCCCUGAAACUGAAAAAAACAAAAAAAAAUAUCUCUUUAAAAAUUAUCUUAUUAACUCUUUAUUAGUUAAAGGGUAGCGACAGGGGGUUUUAGAGGAAAUGGGGGAGUGCCAACUCCCUGAAGGGCUCUGGGAAGAAAUGGGACUUUAGCGGCUGGGAGUCGCAGAGCGCCAAAGAGCCCUGUAAAAGCGGCUUCUAUGUAUGAAAAAAAUUAUCCAAUCAAACAUUUUUGAAAAAAGCAGAAACUUGAGAUAGACGCGGCAACGGCGAAUACUUAACACCACAACUGCUGCCAUCUCCGAGCUCCAGGU
rnacentral:lncRNA from 1 species